GGGAUCUUGGUCUAGUGGUAUGAUUCUCGCUUUGGGUGCGAGAGGUCCGGGGUUCGAUUCCCCGAGGUCCCC
rnacentral:tRNA from 1 species